rnacentral:rRNA from 1 species
CCUACGGGAGGCAGCAGUGGGGAAUCUUGCACAAUGGGGGAAACCCUGAUGCAGCGACGCCGCGUGAGUGAAGAAGGAUUUCGGAACGUAAAGCUCUAUCAGCAGGGAAGAAAAUGAGUGUAACUGACUAAGCACGCCCUGAUAACUCCGGACCAGCAGCCGCGGUAAUACGUAGGGGGCAUACGGUAUCCGGUAUGACUGGGUGGAAAGUGAGCGUAGACGGCAGCACAAGUCUGGAGGGAAAUGCCAGGGCUUAACCCUGGAACUACUUUGGAAACUGUGCAGCUGGAGUGCAGAAGAGGUAAGUGGAAGUCCGAGUGUAGCGGUGAAAUGCGUAGAUAUUAGGAGGAACACCAGUGGCGAAGGCGGCUUACUGGACUGUAACUGACGCUGAGGUUCGAAAGCGUGGGGAGCAAACAGGAUUAGAUACCCUUGUAGUG